CUAUGAGUCACUUGGUUGUUUUCAGUAAGUGGCAGGGAGUUUAAAAAGAGAACGGAUAGCUACAUUCCAAAUCGCAAAAAAUGUAAAAAAUCAUAUGGGCAUGAAUAACAUUCAGCCACAAAUAUUUAUGAAGCUUCUGCUGUGUGCCAGACAAAAUGGCUGGGUAUUAGGACUAUGACAGUGAAGAUAACACAGCCCUUGCUCUCAAGGAUUUACAGUUGAUGAGAAAGGCAGACAAAUCCAGGAGGCAUUAUAAUCCACCAUGACAGCUGCUGAGCUCUUCUGUGGGAAUUUGCAGCAGUGGCACCCACAUAUGUGGGCAUUUGGAGAAAGUGGGGAAAGCUUCCAGGAGGAAAUGAUGUCUUAACUGGGACAGAAGCAAGAAGAGUCAGCCAGUGUUCUGAGAUCUUGUUACUGGUGGCGAAUCCAUACAGGUCUGCAGCAACCUCAAUUCUUGCCUCUUCAGAACACAGAAUUCAACCAAGGGACCUAAGGCAGAAGGAGAGACCAAGGCAAGUUUAGAGCUGGAGUGAAAAUUUCUUGAAAAGUUUUAGGAUAGGAGUGAAAGGAAGUUAAGUACACUUGGGAGAGGGCCAAGAGGGCGGCUUGAGAGACCAAGUGCAUUGUUUGACCUUUGACUUGGGGUUUAAUACUUCAGCAUGCUUCCAGGGGCUUGCGGUCCUUCUCCUCUGAUUCUUCCCUUGGGUGGGCUGUCCGCAUGCGCGGUGGCCUGCCAGCGCUCAGGAGGGGCCUCAAGUGCAGUGCGUUUACCAAAAUUGUGCACAAGCUCACUUGAGGCGCUCUUUCCUUACCAGUCGAGUGUUACUAGAGGAAGGUCGUAUACCAGUUAAACUCCACCAGUUUGCCUCUUAGUGUGCGUGCUUAGCCUACUCGCCCACCUCCUGAGAUCUUAUCGGGAAGCUGCUCAUCACCAGUUUCAGGUAUUUUCUGUCUAUUGGGAGACAACAUUUCCCAGGCACUUGCUACAACCAAUUAUUAUUCUAGACAGUUAACAACUGCCUGACCAUCACUAGAUGGUCGCCUGACAUUCCUGGUGUGUGCAGGGGGCCCUCUCCUGCCCUGCUUGUGUCUGACUAGCUACCUACUGUAACAAUCUCAUGAAAUAACUUUUGUCAAACAACUGGAACAAUUUAUCGUAGAUGGAAAUACCUAUUACUG
rnacentral:lncRNA from 10 species